UUAAGCGACUAAGCGUACACGGUGGAUGCCCUGGCAGUCAGAGGCGAUGAAGGACGUGCUAAUCUGCGAUAAGCGUCGGUAAGGUGAUAUGAACCGUUAUAACCGGCGAUUUCCGAAUGGGGAAACCCAGUGUGUUUCGACACACUAUCAUUAACUGAAUCCAUAGGUUAAUGAGGCGAACCGGGGGAACUGAAACAUCUAAGUACCCCGAGGAAAAGAAAUCAACCGAGAUUCCCCCAGUAGCGGCGAGCGAACGGGGAGCAGCCCAGAGCCUGAAUCAGUGUGUGUGUUAGUGGAAGCGUCUGGAAAGGCGCGCGAUACAGGGUGACAGCCCCGUACACAAAAAUGCACAUGCUGUGAGCUCGAUGAGUAGGGCGGGACACGUGGUAUCCUGUCUGAAUAUGGGGGGACCAUCCUCCAAGGCUAAAUACUCCUGACUGACCGAUAGUGAACCAGUACCGUGAGGGAAAGGCGAAAAGAACCCCGGCGAGGGGAGUGAAAAAGAACCUGAAACCGUGUACGUACAAGCAGUGGGAGCACAGAGCAAUCUGUGUGACUGCGUACCUUUUGUAUAAUGGGUCAGCGACUUAUAUUCUGUAGCAAGGUUAACCGAAUAGGGGAGCCGAAGGGAAACCGAGUCUUAACUGGGCGUUAAGUUGCAGGGUAUAGACCCGAAACCCGGUGAUCUAGCCAUGGGCAGGUUGAAGGUUGGGUAACACUAACUGGAGGACCGAACCGACUAAUGUUGAAAAAUUAGCGGAUGACUUGUGGCUGGGGGUGAAAGGCCAAUCAAACCGGGAGAUAGCUGGUUCUCCCCGAAAGCUAUUUAGGUAGCGCCUCGUGAAUUCAUCUCCGGGGGUAGAGCACUGUUUCGGCAAGGGGGUCAUCCCGACUUACCAACCCGAUGCAAACUGCGAAUACCGGAGAAUGUUAUCACGGGAGACACACGGCGGGUGCUAACGUCCGUCGUGAAGAGGGAAACAACCCAGACCGCCAGCUAAGGUCCCAAAGUCAUGGUUAAGUGGGAAACGAUGUGGGAAGGCCCAGACAGCCAGGAUGUUGGCUUAGAAGCAGCCAUCAUUUAAAGAAAGCGUAAUAGCUCACUGGUCGAGUCGGCCUGCGCGGAAGAUGUAACGGGGCUAAACCAUGCACCGAAGCUGCGGCAGCGACGCUUAGGCGUUGUUGGGUAGGGGAGCGUUCUGUAAGCCUGCGAAGGUGUACUGUGAGGUAUGCUGGAGGUAUCAGAAGUGCGAAUGCUGACAUAAGUAACGAUAAAGCGGGUGAAAAGCCCGCUCGCCGGAAGACCAAGGGUUCCUGUCCAACGUUAAUCGGGGCAGGGUGAGUCGACCCCUAAGGCGAGGCCGAAAGGCGUAGUCGAUGGGAAACAGGUUAAUAUUCCUGUACUUGGUGUUACUGCGAAGGGGGGACGGAGAAGGCUAUGUUGGCCGGGCGACGGUUGUCCCGGUUUAAGCGUGUAGGCUGGUUUUCCAGGCAAAUCCGGAAAAUCAAGGCUGAGGCGUGAUGACGAGGCACUACGGUGCUGAAGCAACAAAUGCCCUGCUUCCAGGAAAAGCCUCUAAGCAUCAGGUAACAUCAAAUCGUACCCCAAACCGACACAGGUGGUCAGGUAGAGAAUACCAAGGCGCUUGAGAGAACUCGGGUGAAGGAACUAGGCAAAAUGGUGCCGUAACUUCGGGAGAAGGCACGCUGAUAUGUAGGUGAAGUCCCUCGCGGAUGGAGCUGAAAUCAGUCGAAGAUACCAGCUGGCUGCAACUGUUUAUUAAAAACACAGCACUGUGCAAACACGAAAGUGGACGUAUACGGUGUGACGCCUGCCCGGUGCCGGAAGGUUAAUUGAUGGGGUCAGCGCAAGCGAAGCUCUUGAUCGAAGCCCCGGUAAACGGCGGCCGUAACUAUAACGGUCCUAAGGUAGCGAAAUUCCUUGUCGGGUAAGUUCCGACCUGCACGAAUGGCGUAAUGAUGGCCAGGCUGUCUCCACCCGAGACUCAGUGAAAUUGAACUCGCUGUGAAGAUGCAGUGUACCCGCGGCAAGACGGAAAGACCCCGUGAACCUUUACUAUAGCUUGACACUGAACAUUGAGCCUUGAUGUGUAGGAUAGGUGGGAGGCUUAGAAGUGUGGACGCCAGUCUGCAUGGAGCCGACCUUGAAAUACCACCCUUUAAUGUUUGAUGUUCUAACGUUGACCCGUGAUCCGGGUUGCGGACAGUGUCUGGUGGGUAGUUUGACUGGGGCGGUCUCCUCCUAAAGAGUAACGGAGGAGCACGAAGGUUGGCUAAUCCUGGUCGGACAUCAGGAGGUUAGUGCAAUGGCAUAAGCCAGCUUGACUGCGAGCGUGACGGCGCGAGCAGGUGCGAAAGCAGGUCAUAGUGAUCCGGUGGUUCUGAAUGGAAGGGCCAUCGCUCAACGGAUAAAAGGUACUCCGGGGAUAACAGGCUGAUACCGCCCAAGAGUUCAUAUCGACGGCGGUGUUUGGCACCUCGAUGUCGGCUCAUCACAUCCUGGGGCUGAAGUAGGUCCCAAGGGUAUGGCUGUUCGCCAUUUAAAGUGGUACGCGAGCUGGGUUUAGAACGUCGUGAGACAGUUCGGUCCCUAUCUGCCGUGGGCGCUGGAGAACUGAGGGGGGCUGCUCCUAGUACGAGAGGACCGGAGUGGACGCAUCACUGGUGUUCGGGUUGUCAUGCCAAUGGCACUGCCCGGUAGCUAAAUGCGGAAGAGAUAAGUGCUGAAAGCAUCUAAGCACGAAACUUGCCCCGAGAUGAGUUCUCCCUGACCCUUUAAGGGUCCUGAAGGAACGUUGAAGACGACGACGUUGAUAGGCCGGGUGUGUAAGCGCAGCGAUGCGUUGAGCUAACCGGUACUAAUGAACCGUGAGGCUUAACCUU
rnacentral:rRNA from 1 species